GCCAUAUGAAGAUGAAGGCACAGAUUGGAGUGACGCUGCCAUAAACCAAGGAGAGCCGGGAGCCACCAGGCCGAGAGGAGGCGGGGAGAGAUGCUCCCCCAGAGGCUUCAGGGGAGCACGCCGCCCACACCUCGAUUCCAGACUUCCGGCUUCCAGGACAGGGAGAGAAUGAGUUUCUGCAUUUUCAGCCAACAAGUUUGUGACAAAUCGGCACUGCCCAUCCUCAUCCACGCCUCUCUGCACGUGUGUGAGCAUGUCUGUUUCGUAGAUUCCUAGAAGAGGAAUUUCUACACAAAAGGCACGUGAACAUUUGAUGUUGAUACCGUCCCGCCAGCCCUGCUGGGGACUCAGUCAGAACAGGCUUUGCUCCCCCGUGCCACUGCCUCACCCCAGACCCAGCCUGAAGAAGCCACCACCACAGGGAACGUUGCUGGACGCCGAGGCAGGAGGAAAGCAGAAGUGGGGAAUGGCAGCGGCUUCCUCCAGAGGAAUUCAUCCAAGGAAAUAGACAAGUGGACAAAGAGGUUCUAUUGAGACAAAAACGGUCAUUGUGAAGAACUGAGGGCAGCUGAAGUGUGUGGAGGCCCUGACAUUACCCGGCAAGGCCCCCAGGGACAUUCACCCAUCAGCAAAGGACGAGACCUGAGCUGGGGUGGCGGCCCGGGAUGGGUGCGGGAUCAUGGACAGGAGCACACUCAUUAAUAAGCAAUUCUGCUGUGUGACAGGUGCGCCUGGCUCCUGAAUCAGCCCCUGAGAACUCAGUAAGGACACUCUAGGGUAUGAAAGCCCAGGUGCUGUGUGGCAGGGGGACGUUUUCAGCUGGUGCCCCUGCUGGGAGCCAUGGGGUCUCAGCCAGCACUACAGAGUGUCCUCUCUGGUAGUGUGAUUAUGGGCCAAAUGGCAACAUGCAAUUCACUCUAUUCCCCUCCCAGCAGUACUGGCGUCUGUCGUCUGUGAUAACUCUCACUUUGAUCUUCCAGGCUGUCAUAUACUUUCAUUUGGUCUCACUGAAUUCCUCUACUGGUUCAGAAAGGGAAAUAUCCAUCAAUGGAGGGACAAAGUUUAGUCUACUCAUGCAGUGGAAUAUUAUAUAGCUGUUAAAAAGAAUAAAUCAAUGUUUAUAUAUCAAUAUGGAAAGAUGUCCAAAAUCAAUAGCUUUAAAAAAGUAGGUUAUGCUCCCUUUUCAAUAAAG
rnacentral:lncRNA from 1 species